AGUAGUAGCAGCAGCAGCAGCAAUAGUAGUUGAUGACAGUGAUAAAGAAUUAUGUUCAUAUUUUAAAGUUUUAUCACAGUUCCACCGAAUGACCACCCAAAGGAAAGCCAUGAUUGAAUGCCACUACGUCGCGAUCAACGUCUCCUAUAGUCUGUCUCAAUGACCUUGUGCCUUUCUCGUUUGAAAUACUAUAUAAUCUGUCAAGCGGAAUUCUGUUUCGAACCCGUAAGUUUAAUUUCGUCAUUUCUUAAUGUCAAGUAAUUCUCUUUAAGGAAAUAAAUGAACGUCACGUCAGUACUUCCUACCACCACCUCAUUAAGGAACUCAUCGUACCUAUAUAUAUAUAUAUAUAUAUAUAUAUAUAUAUGUAUAUGUAUAUAUAUAUAUAUAUAUAUAUAUAUAUAUAUAUAUCUAUAUAUGUAUAUAUGUAUGUAUAUGUAUAUAUUUUAUAUAUAUAUAUAUAUAUAUAUAUAUAUAUAUAUAUAUAUAUAUAUAUGUAUAUAUAUAUAUAUAUAUAUAUGUAUAUAUAUGUAUAUAUAUAUAUGUAUAUAUAUGUAUAUAUAUAUAUAUAUAUAUAUAUAUAUAUAUAUAUAUAUAUAUAUAUAUAUAUAUAUAUAUAUAUAUAUAUAUAUAUAUAUAUAUAUAUGUAUGUAUAUAUAUAUAUAUAUAUAUAUGUAUAUAUAUAAUAUAUAGAUAUAUAUAUAUAUAUAUAUAUAUAUAUAUGUAUGUAUAUAUAUAUGUAUGUAUAUAUAUAUAUAUAUAUAUAUAUAUAUAUAUAUGUAUGUAUAUAUAUAUAUAUAUAUAUAUAUAUAUAUAUAUAUAUAUAUACAAAACGACUGACUGACUCUUCGGACACGCAGUAUCUUCAUCUAUAUCAGUCCCUACCUCUGAACAGCAGUAGAAGCGAAUAGAAUUUGGUGGUGUAUGAAGGCUGUGAGAAUGAUGUGUGUUAUUGUCAGGAACGUGUCACGCGCAACUCCAAAGACACAGUUUUCAAUGAGCGAAGCGACAGAAGAGCAGGAACAACAAAUGUGUGUGUGUGUGUGUGUGUGUGUGUGCAUAUAUUGAUACGCACAUAUGUCCAUGUACAUAUGUUUAUGUGUCUUGUAAAGCAACAGUUGUAGUAGCAGCUGUGACAGAUGACCAGGAGUAGUAGCAGCAGCAGCAGCAGCAGUGGUGGUGGCGGCAGUAGUAGUAGUAGUAGUAGUAGUAGUAGUAGUAGUAACCGACGAUUUUCGCUUUAAGUUGGAUGCGUUUCCUCUAUAAAAUAGCAAUGAUGAUUAUGAUGAUGAUAACGACGACGACGGUGAACGAACUGGUUGUAUUGAUGAUGAUAGUGGUGAUGAUGAUGAUGAUAAAUAUCUGUAACGGUAAUCAUGAUGAUGAUGACGGCCAUUAUGAAGAUGACCACGAUGAUGAUAAUAGUUGAAGUCCCGAAUAGUUUGCCUGGCUGAUCGGUUGGUGUUGUGAUGGUAAUUGGUCAUUCUAUUAAUCAACAGCGAAUAUCAAAUUGUCAUAUUGAAUGUGUGUGUGUGUGUAUGUGUGUGUGUGUGUAUUUGCAUAUACAUAUGUACACAUAGUGAGAUAGAUAAAUAGAUAAAUAGAGAGAGAGAGAGAGAUGUAUAUAAAUAGAUAGAUAGUUAGAGAGAGAGAGAGGCCUUUGUAUGUGUGCGUAUGUAAAUAUGUAUGUCCACCUGACAUGACUAGAAAUAAGAAAAUACUGGAGUAAGAAGACAUCCACGAUCGGCUGAUGAGGAGUCUGCAAAUCUGGCAGCCAAAAUACACUAAAGCCUUUUACCCCAUUAUUAUAGGAGACGUACCGACCCUUCUAGAGCAAAGUAUGGGUAAACUGCGAUUUCUGGUAAAAGGGCACCACGCCAGUAUUCGUCUAGUGCUGAUGGUCACAGUUUCUGGACAAUAGAAAAUCAACAGGAACUCCUUCUUAAACCGAAAAGGAUGAAUGGUUUGGAAAAAUAUGACCAAGAGAACUUGGACAUUCUUACAAUCUUGUCACCAAGUCAGGGGCCGAUGUAAAUGUAGUAUAAAUUUGCAAUCAGGAAGUGACAUGCAUGCAUUGGUUCACUUGAUUUUCUGAGUAAAUGCCUAACUGUCGUUCUGGAUAAGCUUGGAUUUUCAGAAAAGGAAAUCAUACCAAUUGAUUUGCACAUUAGAUAUACAACCUGUAAGUGGAACAGUAAAAAUGUUGAAGACUUUUCUCAGGUUUAAAAUGUGACAAUGUUUCCGUUAUCUACAUUGCAAGGAUGGAGCUUUGCAUCUUUGUUAGAAACCAAUUCCUUCCUCAGAGGGAGAACUUAAAUAAUCAAAAACAGAAGAGAACUUAUAUAUACAGACAGAAAGAAAAGUUCAUUAACAGUCAUAGAGCGAAGUUACUCUGGAGAUGUGACCAUCUCUUCCAAAAUCAGUAAGAAGAAGAAUAACUAGGGACAAGUGCUUCGAAACUGGAAAUUCUUCUGUCCUGAUUAUAAAUUUACAUUCAUAC
rnacentral:lncRNA from 1 species